UACAGGGGGUGCAAACGUUGCUCGGAAUCAUUGGGCGUAAAGCGCACGUAGGCGGUUCGUUAUGUCGGAUGUGAAAGCCCUUGGCUUAACCGAGGAAGUGCAUCCGAAACUGGCGAGCUAGAGUACGAAAGAGGAUCGCGGAAUUCCCGGUGUAGAGGUGAAAUGCGUAGAGAUCGGGAGGAACAUCAGUUGCGAAGGCGGCUCUCUGGACCAGCACUGACACUGAGGCACGAAAGCGUGGGGAGCAAACAGG
rnacentral:rRNA from 1 species